rnacentral:lncRNA from 1 species
UGAAAUAAUUUCCAUAUUUAGAGAAUAAUAAGUGACAGGAUUUUUAUAGUUUUUCAUGAUCUUUUUCUAUCUUUAACCUGGUGGCAGAGGAAAUUUCCAUUUUUUAGUGGAAGUUUACAGAAUAUGACUAUGCAAUACACUGCUGUACCGAGUCUUUGGGUAGGCAGGUGAAUAUUUUACAAACAAAAACCCAGCACCUGACCUUACCCAGGUCACCUCUUCCUUCCUUCCUUCUGGCCCUGCUGGGAUUCUGAUCCCCACCCCACAUUUACUUUCUCUCUCCAACCCAGUUCCUUUCAUACCUGCAGUCAAGAGAACAACCUGGCCAUAACAUACCUUACAAUGGUGUCAGGCUGGCAUACAUCACUGCCCACAACUUUGCUGGUGUUUGUUCAACCAAGAGGUAGUCUAAGUCCAGAGGGAAUCCCAAGGAGGUGUUCUGCAUGGCAGCUGGGAGCAUUUUGGUUUCCGAAAAGGACUGCCCCUCCUUGGAAUUGGACCAAAAGUCUGAAGUCAUGGUUCCAAAUUAAGGGAACUAUGGGCGCUCAGUGUUGCAGGAAGGAGUCCCCCUAAACCUCGGGUUCUACUAUGAACACUGAGAAGAUGGACAUCGAAAAUGGAUGCAACUCGAGACCACGCUCACAAGUGAAAUAAACCAGACGCACAUGUGGAGACAUCCUAUUGUCUCCCUAGUGGGAGAAGCUGAAAGAGUAAAUAAGACCCAAAAGGUACAAUAGGAGUUGUAAAAUGGAAGAAAUUUCAAAGGGAAAGAGAAACUGGGAUGGGGGAGUGGAGAAAAGAAGGAAGGGAAAAGAAAAAAGUAUAUAUAUAUAUGAAAUAGUUAAUACAGUUAUACUACUAAUUUCUCUUAGUUCAUUGAAAAGAAAGGUCUGUGCUAAUAUUUUUUGGACAAUUAAAUGCUGAUAUCUUGUACUCUGAGUAACUAACUUAAAGAUAACAAUAUGCAAUGUAUUAACCAUUGCUACUCUCCUAUUAUCUUGUUUUGAAAUUUUUUUUCUCUUUAAAAUAAAAAAAAAGAAAGGAAAUGAAUAUCAAGCCCAAGCGCUCACGUAGCAAGUGCUUGACAAGUAUCCAUGAGGAUAGCGGCAAUCAUGUUAGUAAAAUCAGCUUUUCUGUGGCUCCAUUUCCUUGACUAGAGAAUGGAAUCCUAAUCACCUGACAGCAGGACAGGUUUGCAGGAAAUCAAGGAUAGAGUGAGUACAAAAGCAUUUCUCCCUCGUGGAGGUGUUACCUAUCGCCAUCACAGCACUUGUUACCCAGUGUGACAAUGACGUGUUUCCGCGGGCUCUGCCACCCAGCACACUAGCUGGAAGAGAGUGGGCGCUCAGGAAGUGCAUGCCAUAUCAGCCACCUGUGUUAGUCAGUUUUCAUCUCUGUGACCAAACACCUGAGGAAAACAACUGAGAGGAGGAAAGAUUUGUUUGGAUUUCAGAAGUUUCAGUCCGUAGUCAGCUGGCUCGGAGGCAGAAACAGCGUGAGAGAAGGUCAGGGCUAAAGGAAGCGGUCCAUCUCACAGCAGCCAGGAAACACAGAACAAGAGAACCAAUCAGGAAGGCGCUGGGGUCAGGACAUACCCUUUAAAACCAUGCCUUCACACUGGGCUGUGUAAAAGCCCCACCACAGACAUCAAAGGUUCUAGUUUAAUUCCCAGUUCCCACCCCUGCCGUGGGGUUAGAUCUUCAUGUUUACCAUUUCUGGAAUGUAUGGUUAUAAACGCCCUGCCCUUCCUGGACUCCCAAAAUGUAUUGUUCUUCCCCUAAAUGCUCUACCCCUCCCGGAUUCUCGGAAUGUAUUGUUCCUGCCAUAAAAAAAAAGAGUCCCCUCAUUGUUACAGAUGUGACAUGUGUUUGCCAAACAGGAUGUGGUUUUAGGGUAUAAAAGCUACUCUCGUCCCUGGAUUGGGACUGGUCUGAUCCUUCCCUGCGUGGAGGCUCUCAAUCAGUCCCUGGCCAGGAAUAAAGGCUCAUCCUAAAUUCCAAUUGGUGGUCCAUGCAUCUUGGUGUUUGUUGGUCGGUACCAUUUGGUUCAUUUCU